rnacentral:lncRNA from 1 species
GGAGAAUAAGGUAACGAAAUUUUCCAAAUUUGUUUUCAAUUUAUAUUCGUGCCUUAAACAGUUUAUGUGGUUGUACAUGAAGUUUGAGUUCCAUUUGACAAAGGUUAACUCAACAACGGAGAUUCGACUACACUAUGCCCCCGAUGAGCGAAGGUUUGUUUUAAAUGAAAAAGGUAAAAUCGACCCUUAUUAUUCUGCUUAUCGAGGUAAGAUGCUUGAAACCUUUGAAACACUUUUGUACUCCUCGGAUAGUGAUAAAGAUCGUGUUGAUGAACACUUAGAUCGAAACGUGCUUGACUGUCCUAUUUUAUUUAUUGAUGAUCUAUCUGUUUUGAUGGUUGAUAAAAAGAUUCUUGUUUUUGAUAAUGCAUGUGUGAGUGAAUCUAUAGACCGUCGAUUAAUGCAUGGUAUGAUUAUGCAACUCUGUGAACCAUGUGAAUCUUUUCAAAUACCUACUUGUGACGAUUAUGUUUACCAUUUGAUUUAUUACUCGUAAUUUAUUCAUGGUUUGUGGGAACAAUGUGAGACGACUGAAUGCCUUAAAACAUGUCCAUCUUUGUUUCAAAUAUUUGACAAGGCAGUGGUGAGUAAAUUAGAUUGUUUGCAUGGUAAUCUGAAUCUGUCCAUUCACAUGCGUUAUACUUGUUCUGUUAUGCUUAUGAUUGGACUACAAGCUUGUUUCCUUUGCUAUUUACUAUCUCAUGGCUAUUCUUUUCAGUGGACUCAAUUGCCAUUAGUCCCGUUCGAUAGAGGAAAGUCGAGUUCAUUUGAUUUUUCAGAUUCGAGGACGAAUCUUUUUGAGGAAGGGGGGAAUGAUACGAGUCACAAAAGCCCAAAUUCUUGAAGGCGAGGCCCAAUAAGCAAAUUCCCAGCCCAAUCAAGAAAUCCAUCCAUACUUAGUUGAAAAUCAGGCCAAAUUGUCAAAGUGGCCCAAGUUGUAAAGUUUUAUUUUUAUUUUUAUUUAUUUAUUUACUUAGUUUAAAUUUUUAUGUCAAUAUUCAGUCCAAGAGUCCCAGAUAAAAUGACCUUUGACCAAAUUUCUAUAUUAAAAUAAUUAGGAGUUUUUUUUAUUUUAAUUUUCUAAUUAGAUUAGGACUAGUUAUAAGGCCUAUUUAAAGGCAUGGCUGUCCACCUUGUUAAACACUUAUCAUUAUUAUUAAAAUUUCAGAUUUGUUGAGAGCAGAACUUUCUUUGAGUUUUCUCCAAGAUUUCUCUCUUGAGUUUUCUUUAGAAGUUGUUUUAACAAUCUUGUGAUUGUGGGAGCCAUCUUCAACCUUCUUCUUGCCAUUGAUAUUCUUUGGAGGGUAGAUUAGAGCCGUUUGAAGGGAGUUGUGAGAUCUUUCGAGAUUUCAAGGCUUCUUAGGACUUAUCUUUUAAUUUCUUACUGUCAAUUCUUUCUUUAUUUCUACUUGUGCUGAAUCAUUAUCUAAUCUAUUUUCUAUUCUUAUUGUGUUUUCAGCCUUUUUCUAUCUUAAGGAAUCAGCCCAAAAAUCCCCAAUUUCUAGGGUUUUUCCAUACUCUUUUUGGGUGAAAUUAGAUUGUCGAAAUUUGGGGAAAACUAUCUUGGUGUUCAAUUGGGCAGAAUCACAAUCUCCUUGAGGGUUUCAAGAACCCUAACACUUAUUUCUAUUCUCAAUUUGAUUCUUUGCUGAUUUGGGGAUUUUAUUUCAGAUCUGAAAAUUCAAAAAUCUAAUCUUUUAAUUUUCUGUUUCGUUUCGGAUCUGAUUGUUUAGGGUUUUCGUAGGAGUUUCUCGUGACUUGGCAACUCGAUCUUGGUCCGCACGCAACCCCGUAUCAUUUGGUAUCAGAUUUUGGGCGUUUUGGGUGUUCUUGGUUGAUUUCUAAACUGAUCUCUAUUUUUUAAAGCAUAAACAGCAGUUUUACCCAGAAAAAUUGUUCAAAAAAAUUCAUUUGAGUGGGUAAACGUUGUCCGAUUGAUCUGAAAUUUUACAUACAUGUGUUUGGCACUAUGAUUGAAUAUAAAAAAAUUAUUCCCGCAAAAAAAUCAGUCAAAAAGUCAAAAAAAUCGAAAAAAAGAUGAAAUCCAAUAAAAAUUUUAAAAAAAUUCAGCGGGUUGAGUUUGGUGCCCAAACUUUCCAGAUCAAAAAUUAAAUAUUUAAGGACAUUCGAGAUUUAAUUUUGUGAUUUUUUGAGAUCAGGAACACCUCGAACGAAGUUGUCAAGUUACUCCACAGUUUUUCGGGUUUUCUGUUUUCAGCAAUUUUUAUUGAUUCUUAGCUGUAGGUUUUCAUUUGUUUGCUUUUUAUUAUCCUUUUAAAAUAUCUAACACCUUCUUGUUUCUUGUGUUAGUAGGAUUUAAACGUGUGCACAAUCCUUCCUCGGUGCAACACGAAUCACUUGGUGUCUCGUCAGUUUUUGGCAUCCUAGUGCAAAUUAGGAUUCUUUGGUAGUUUGGUUCACACUCUCUAAUUGGUUGAUAUAAACUCUGAUAAAGAACUCACAAGAUUGAAUUCGACCUCAUUGAGAAUUUGAUUUUUUCUUUUUGAGUGAUUAACGGUGAGGUUUGAUAACUUUUAUUUUUGAGUGUUGAGUGUUUAUUUUUUACAGGUUUUGAAGAUGUCUAAAGGUGAUAAUAAUGAUGCACUUAUGAAAGUCCAACAACAGUUAGACAGAUAUACUGCUGCAAUCACACAAAUAAAUGCUACACUUCAAGCAUUGAAUACUACUUUGAAUGAGGUACGAGUGAAUCAAAAACAUCAAUAUCGAGAUCCAAUUAAGGAAUAUAGGGAUAACCAGCCCCAUAGGUGCAACCCUCAACGUGUCCCUAGAAUGGAUGAUGAUUGUCAUGAUCAUGGACAAUCAUCUUUGGCAAAACCAAAGAGCGAGCAGCAACGAGAACAUCUCUUUCAUACUCGCUGCCACGUACAAGGUAAGCUUUGUAGAGUUAUUAUUGAUGGUGAAAGUUGCUCGAACAUAGCCAGCACGACGAUGGUGGAAAAGCUUUGCUUAACCACUACCAAGCAUCCACAACCUUAUCAACUACAAGGGCUUAGCAACGAAGGCCAAUUUAGGGUCACUCAACAAGUGCGCAUCGCCUUUUCUAUCGGUAAGUAUCAAGACGAAGUUGUGUGCGACGUAAUGCCUAUUCAAGCCUGCCAUUUGUUGCUAGGAGAACCGUGGCAACUAGAUCGAAAAGUCACUCACGAUGGUCGUACCAAUAGGUAUUCUUUCAAGCAUCAAGGAAAGAAACUCACCCUAGUGCCGCUCACUCUAGAACAAGUCCAUGAGGACCAAAUCAAACUGAAAAAUUCUGUUAAAACAAGUGAGGAAAAAGAAAAAGAGAAUGAAAAAGAGCAAAAAGAGAUUGAGAGUGAAAAAGAAAUUGAAGAAAGAAGAGAAAAUGAAUUAGAAAAAGAAACAAAAGAAAAAGACGUGGAAAGGGUAGUGGGGAAUGUUUCCACUAACCAAGAUAUGAAUUUUUCUUGUGUUGCUACUUUUCAGGUUCCCGAAAGAUCGAAAGAUAACUUUCAACUUCAAUACCUCUCAAAUGAAAGACGCUUUCAUACGAUCAACUUAAGCAAAGAUGAAAUCACACUACAUGAUCCCGAAGGUAAGCGAGGUAAGGAAAUUUUAGAAACCGAGUCCAGUGCAGAUUUGAAAAUUAUUGAUAAAACUUUUGGUGACUUAGUUCUUAAAAGAUCCCCUCAUUUUGAUCCGAUUAAUUGUUACUCUUCGAUUGUGGUUGAUAAAUUCAUUACGAAAAGAAGCGUGAUUUGUUAUUCUCUUGAUUUACCUUGUGUAAAAUCCUUGAAUUUGUCCAAAUCUCUUUUGGAGAAUAAGGUAACGAAAUUUUCCAAAUUUGUUUUCAAUUUAAAUUUGUGCCUUAAACAGUUUAUGUGGUUGUACAUGAAGUUUGAGUUCCAUUAGACAAACGUUAACUCAACAACGAAGAUUCGACUACACUAUGCCCCCGAUGAGUGAAGGUUUGUUUUAAAUGAAAAAGGUAAAAUCGACCCUUAUUCUUCUGCUUAUCGAGGUAAGAUGCUUGAAACCUUUGAAACACUUUUGUAUUCCUCGGAUAGUGAUAAAGAUCGUGUUGAUGAACACUUAGAUCGAAACGUGCUUGACUGUCCUAUUUGAUUUAUUGAUGAUCUAUCUGUUUUGAUGGUUGAUAAAAAGAUUCUUGUUUUUGAUAAUGCAUGUGUGAGUGAAUCUAUAGACCGUCGAUUAAUGCAUGGUAUGAUUAUGCAACUCUGUGAACCAUGUGAAUCUUUUCAAAUACCUACUUGUGACGAUUAUGUUUACCAUUUGAUUUAUUACUCGCAAUUUAUUCAUGGUUUGUGGGAACAAUGUGAGACGACUGAAUGCCUUAAAACAUGUCCAUCUUUGUUUCAAAUAUUUGACGAGGCAGUGGUGAGUAAAUUAGAUUGUUUGCAUGGUAAUCUGAAUCUGUCCAUUCACAUGCGUUAUACCUGUUCUAUUAUGCUUAUGAUGGACUACAAGCUUAUUUCCGUUGCUAUUUACUAUCUCAUGGCUAUUCUUCUCAGUGGACUCAAUUGCCAUUAGUCCCGUUCGAUAGAGGAAAGUCGAGUUCAUUUGAUUUUUCAGAUUCGAGGACGAAUCUUUUUGAGGAAGGGGGAAUGAUACUAGUCACAAAAGCCCAAAUUCUUGAAGGCGAGGCCCAAUAAGCAAAUUCCCAGCCCAAUCAAGAAAUCCAUCCAUACUUAGUUGAAAAUCAGGCCAAAUUGUCAAAGUGGCCCAAGUUGUAAAGUUUUAUUUUUAUUUUUAUUUAUUUAUUUACUUAGUUUAAAUUUUUAUGUCAAUAUUCAGUCCAAGAGUCCCAGAUAAAAUGACCUUUGACCAAAUUUCCAUAUUAAAAUAAUUAGGAGUUUUUUUUAUUUUAGUUUUCUAAUUAGAUUAGGACUAGUUAUAAGGCCUAUUUAAAGGCAUGGCUGUCCACCUUGUUAAACACUUAUCAUUAUUAUUAAAAUUUCAGAUUUGUUGAGAGCAGAAUUUUCUUUGAGUUUUCUCCAAGAUUUCUCUCUUGAGUUUUCUUUAGAAGUUGUUUUAACAAUCUUUUGAUUGUGGGAGCCAUCUUCAACCUUCUUCUUGCCAUUGAUAUUCUUUGGAGGGGAGAUUAGAGCCGUUUGAAGGGAUUUGUGAAAUCUUUCGGGAUUUCAAGGAUCUUUAAGACUUUCUUUAUUUCUUGCUGUUUCGUUUUAUUUCUUUAUUUCUACUUGUGCUGAAUCAUUAUCUAAUCUAUUUUCUGUUCUUAUUGUGUUUUCAGCCUUUUUCUAUCUUAAGGAAUCAGCCCAAAAAUCCCCAAUUUCUAGGGUUUUUCCAUACUCUUUUUGGGUGAAAUUAGAUUGUCGAAAUUUGGGAAAAACUAUCUUGGUGUUCAAUUGGGCAGAAUCACAAUCUCCUUGAGGGUUUCAAGAACCCUAACACUUAUUUCUAUUCUCAAUUUGAUUCUUUGCUGAUUUGGGGAUUUUAUUUCAGAUCUGGAAAUUUAAAGUUCUAAUCUUUUAAUUUUUCUGUUUCGUUUCGGAUCUGAUUGUUUAGGGUUUUCGUAGGAGUUUCUCGUGACUUGGCAACUAAAUCUUGGUCCGCGCGCAACCCCGUAUCAGCUUUAGCUCGUGAGCUAAAGUUGAGCUAAGGUUAAACUCUUAAGCUAAAGUUGAGCUAAGGUUUAGCUCGUGAGUUGAAAGUGAGCUAGGAGUGAGCUCGGUUUAGAUCAGGCAAGAUGGAUUGAGCUCGAAUAAGCUGGAUUUGAGCUGGACGGUGCUCGUGGAGCUAGAAACGAGCUGGGAUCAGCUUGCCAACAUGUCAUUGCUUGGUUUGACAGACUUGCUCGAUAAAGUUCGCGGGGCGUGCUCGUAUCACAAACUCAUUCACGAAGAAUUGAUCGUGAACUCUACCUAAAUGAUUUCACAUCUUUCGAACAAAAUACUUAUCAUGCUGAUUCACUUGUAUUAUCUUCAAGUUGUAAAGAAAAAAUGAGAGAAAAAGAAAUAAAGGAGAGGCAAGAGGCAAGUAAGAGAGAAAAUGAGAGAUUCUUGAAAGAGAUCGAGAAAGUCAUUGAAAAAACCGUUGAGAAAGAAAAAGAACAAAAAUAGAGUGAAAGAAAAGAGAGGCAAAAGAUGAUCAUCAGAGAAAAUGAGUGGAUUCUAAAAGAAAUCGAGAGAAGCGAAAAAGAAGUCGAAAAAGAAAAAUAGUGUGUGCAAGAAAGUAAAGUUGAAAAAGAGAGUGAGCAAAAAGAAAGUGUGGAAGAAACAAUUGUUUUUGAAGAAAAAGAAAUGAAAGAAAAAGUUGAUACAGAGCAAGAAAAAGAGAGUGUUGUUUCCACUAACCAAUCUAUGAGUUCUUCUUGUCUUACCUUUUCUUUUCAAGUUUCUAACAAUCUGUGUGAUGAAAUUCAACUUCAAUACUUUCCUGAUGAGAGAUGUUUUCGUAUGAUCAGAAAAGGAAAGGUUGAAGAUAAAAUCCAACCGCAAGUAUUCAAAGAUAAGGAAUCUUUAGAAAUCGAGCCACUGCAAACAGGUUUGAAAGUUGUCGGUAAAAUUUUUGAUGGCUUAAUUUAUAAAAGAUUCCCUCAUUUUGAUUUAAUUAGCCCUUAUUCUUUGUUUGUGGUUGAUAAAUCCAUUCUAAGUGGAAGUAUGAGGUGGUGUUCUCUUGACUUGUUUGAUACGACCAAGCCCCGGGCACACUUUUGGAUCAGCUCCCUAAGCAUUGUUUGCAAAUCCAUGCGAGCUGAAUUAGUCCAAUUUCAUUUUGUUAAGCUCCGUUUAGCUCGUUUCCAGCUCACUCGAGCUCAAGUCAACUCACUCAAGCUCAAUUCAGCUCAAUCUUAACCCAAUGAGCUUAUUUUUAGCUUUCUUUAGCUUGCAUUUAUUUUGCUGAAAUAAACCAUUUAAUUUGUCAUUAGUUAAAUUAGUUGUUUAUCUUAAGUUAGUUAAUUUGUUAAAAUCUGGACAAAUAAUUAAUUAAGUGUUUUAGUUAUAUCUAAAUUAAAUACUUAAUUAAUUAUUAUGUUUUAAAUAUGUCUAAAAUUGUUAAUAUGUAUGGCCAAAUUUAAUGUGCAAAUUAUUGAGUUCAUAUGCUGCUAAUUUAAUGUGUUUGAAAUGCAUUUAACUUGCUGAUUUAAUUUUCUGCAGGUUCAUGAACGGAUUGGUGCAAUGUAUGGGAGUGUGCAUGCACAAUUGAGGUUCAAUGGAUGGCAUUUAAAGGAGCACAUGCAUUUGGGACGUUCAUGCAAGAGGGAGUUGCUGAAAGUUCAUGUAUUUGAAGAUUCAUGGAUCAUAUUUAUGGGGGAAAAUACAUGGGACGUUUCAUGCAUGAUUCAUGCAUUUUCAAGAUGACCAUUCAAGUAUUUUAGGCACAUUAAUGCCUCAUUCAGCCAAGGGAGAUGUAGGAUCAUUAAAGAGCUGCACAUUCAUGGAAUUAUGGAGAUUCUUCAAGGCUAAGGAUGCAUGAAUGCAUCAAGUGAAGCAUCAUGAUGGUUCGGCCAAUUCAUGUACCAUCUUCAAGCAUGAACUGGAUUUUAAUGCUAUUUGUGUGAACAUGUUAAAUAGAACAGAAUUUAAGUUAGUGUGAACAACAUAGAUGCCGAAUAUCAAUAGGCAUUUUAGGCUUAUAAAUAGCUUACUUGUUUAUUGUAAAAGGUUACAGAAUUUGAUCAAUUAAACUUAAUAGAACUUUUGUUCUUGUGAGGUUACCUCCUCUCUUCUUUCGUUCGAGUCUCGAAGCGACUUAUCUAGCUUGCUAGUGGUGUCAAUCCGAACCCCAUUGAACUUAUCACCGAAUCGGUGUGGCGUUCAACCAUCUUCCUAUACCUUUGGUUCUUACCUCCAUAUAGGUAACGGGUCAAGGUCCGCUUCUAUCCUUCAUCAAAAUUCACCUUAAGCAAUAUAAGACUCGGGGCAAUACUUUUUAGUAUUGAAUCAUUCUUAAAGUUUGAGUUCUUUAUCCAUUUCCAUUUAUUUAUCAUCUUUGUAACUUAAUUCUUUGUUAAACCGAACCUAUCUUUCAUCAAACCAAAACCCAUCCUUUGAACCCAUUUUGCCUACCUUCCGCUUAUAAAACAUUCAAACUCCAUCUAUCUACAAAUUUGAACGAGCUUCUCGUCGACGAUCGGGCAUCUUAAGUGAACCCGACUCAAUUAAUCAGGCCGGAUCACAUCAUUUGGUAUCAGAGCUACUAAAACGAGGAGUGCCGACAUUCGUAUCAAGCUCGGAGUAGGUUCGAAACGUAAAAAAAAUCAAAAAAAAAAUUUUGAGUUGUAAUUUAAUUUUUUUUCCCUUGUAUUUAGCUUACUAUUGUAUUGGAGUAACAAAAAAAAUCAAAAAAAAAUUUUUGAUUGAAAAAAAAAAUUCAAAAAAAAAAGUGAAAAAAAGCGAGCAAAAAAAAAAGAAAAGAAAAAAAAAAGGUGAGCAAAAAAAAAUCAAGUUUAAAAAAAAAAGUGAAAAGUCUUGCGAGUUUUUAUUUUCUUCUCUUAUUUACUCCGAUCAUCAAGUUUCCCUUCCUACCAUUAUUUACCAUCCCAACGCCACAUUUUAAACCAAUUUUCUUCUUUAUUCAGCCUACCCUACACCUGACAUUAUCCCUUGUAAUCCAUUUUGAAACCGACCCUCAAGCAGCAAAUUAAGUCUAUCGAGACGAAUUAUGAAUCUGUGAGACGAGGUCGAGUGGUAAAAGGCAAGAGAGCGUGAGUUCAUUCAAAAAAAAAGCCUAAAAGAGAGUUCAAACACGAGAGUGAGUGAAUUUUUCUUUUUGAGCGAACUUGAGAGAUUUGUGGUGAGAAUUAUUUUUUCUUUCUAAUUUAACUUUUGUUUUCUAAUAUUUUGUUGAAUCAUGUCUGAAGAAUUUUCUGAAUUUGAAUUCCAAAUGUGGAGACAAGAAAUGCAAAGGAUAAUGCGAUCUGAAUUUCGACAAUUCGACAAAGAUAAAGAAGAUUUGACAUCUACUAUCGUUGACAUCAAGAUUAGUGCAAUCCUUCAAAGAUUGGAAAAUGAACCACAAUGUGAAGAUAUGUUUCACACGCGUUGCCGUGUCCACGAUAAAGUUUGUUGCCUCAUUAUUGAUGGUGGAAGUAGGUCAAACAUGGCUAGUAUUCGAACGGUAAAAAACUUGGCUUGGCCACUACCAAGCAUCCACAACCCUAUCAACUGCAAGGACUUGGUGUUGAAGGCAAAUUUGAAGUUACUCAACAAGUGCGUGUUGCAUUUUCUAUCGGAAGAUACCAAGACGAAGUCCUUUGUGAUGUUGUGCCUAUUCAAGUCUGCCAUUUGUUGCUAGGAGAACCAUGGCAAUCGGAUCGCAAGGUCAUUCACGAUGAACGUACCAAUAGGUAUUCCUUCAAGCAUUAAGGAAGGAAAAUCACUUUAGCGCCGCUCACACCGGAACAAGUGCAAGAAGACCAAUUCAAAAUGAAGCAAUCCAUUGAGCGAGAAAAGGAGAAAGAGAUUGAAAAAGAAAUUGAAAGAAAACAAAAAGAAAAUGAAGAAGAAAAAGAAAUUGCAAAAGAAAAAGAAAUCGAAAAAGUGAGAGAAAAAGAAAAUGAAGAAAAGAAAAUUGAAAAAGAAAAAGCGAAAAAAGAAAUUGAAAGAGAGCUUGAAAAGAAAUCAAGUGAAAAAGAAAGAGAGUCUAAAAAAGAAACGAGUGUCAUGGAAAAAGAAAUUGAGAUUGAAAAAGGAUGUGAAUAAGAGAAAGAAAUCGAAAAAGAAAUUGAGAUUGAACAAAAGUGUGAGGAAAAAGAGAAAAUUGCAAAAGAAAGAAAAGACAAUGAGUUAGAAAAAAAACGAGAGAAAAGGAGGCAAAAGAGCAAGAAAAAAUGAGGAAUCUGUUUACUAAACCACAUGAGAAUUUGUGUUGUUUUGUUUCCUCUUUUCAGGUCUCCGGAAGGCCAAGUGACGAUAAUUUUCAACUCCAAUACCUCUCGAAGGAGAGAAGGUUCAUUUUGGCUGAAAAAGGUAAUGUUCUCAAUGAUCCUAGUUCGCCUAUGCCAAAAGGUAAGCAAGGUAUGAAUGUUGAAAAUUUUAAAGCACUUCUGCCUUACUCGAUUGUUGAUGGACACACUGUUGAUGAUUUGGUCUUUAGAAAGAAUCUGAACUUUGACGUGGCUAUUUGUCAUUCUUUGAUUGAUGAUGAUCCAUUUGUUUUGUCUAAUGAUAAGAAGAUUCUUGCUUUUGAAAAAUAUCAUUUUGAUGGUAUUGGUUGUUUAUCUUUAACUUGCAAUGGAAUGCAUGUUUUGGAUGCGCAAGAUGAAAGUCCAUAUAAAAUGUUCAUUCUCACUGAUCAUGUUGAAAAGGAAUGGAAAUGUAUUGAUGAAUACACCAUUGGCAAGAUUUUUGAUGAAGAGCGAAUAAAUCAGCACCAACAAAAUCUGGAAUUGUGUGAUCAAAAGUUGACAUAUCAUCUGCUUGGUUGUGUUGAUCAUGUGGAUUAUCUAAUUUUUGGUGUGAAAUUUCUAUGUUUUUGUAAAUAUUUUCGAAUGAAAUUUAAAGGGUUUGCUUGUUUGAAUUUGAGUAUGUUAACACCCUCGUUGUUUAAUUUGUGUAAAUUGUUGGAGAUAAAAGGACUCUUUUUGCCAUUUGGAUCGAGUAGUCAAAAUCAUGUCUUUAAUCCUGGAGUUUGCUAUUAUGAAUCAUCCAUGAAAGAAAGCAAGCAUCGUAAAAUUUGUUUGAAUGAAUGUGUAAACAAUCUUUGUUUGUAUGAUACUUUGUCUUUAAGUUUGAAAAUGAGCCAUGUGAAUCUUGUUGGUUUGUUAAGUCAAAAUCAAAAUUUUGUUUUCGGAGGAUGUUCUCAACUGUGGACUAAAAGAUCCGAACAUGUUUUGAAUGAUAAUGAUUUUGAGUUGCUUAGUGCUCUUUCUAUGAAGUCGGUCAUGAAAUUGCCAAAUCAAAUUGAAAUGGCAAGAGAAAAUUUUGUCUUUGACCCCGGUGAACACCAUUCUAUAUCAUUGCCUAAGGUAAUCGAACCAUGGAAAGUUGACUUCCAAAACCAUAGCUAUCAAAUGCCUUGUGAUUUAUGUUUGUUUCCAUCGAAGAAAAAGGUAAGAACGAUUUCUAUUUUCGACCCCGGUAUUGGAUUAUUUGUUCAAACUGUGAAUCAAAUCUCAAAAAGUUCCUUUGUGUUUAAUCUUCAUCGUGUCACUAAUUCGUUUUAUUCUUUUAAAGGUGACAAUGUGAAGUGGUACCCUCCUAAAGAGGGAGGGCAUGCGAAUGAGCUUCUUUUGAUCCGAGUUAAUUGUGGCUUUCAGAAUCUUCAACGAUUUUUCGCGAGUAAAUGGCCCGAUUUGGGGACAAAUCUCUUUAAAGAGGGAGGGGAUGAUACGACCAUGCCCCGGGCACACUUUUGGAUCAGCUCCCUAAGCAUUGUUUGCAAAUCCAUGCGAGCUGAAUUAGUUCAAUUUCAUUUUGUUAAGCUCCGUUUAGCUCGUUUCCAGCUCACUCGAGCUCAAGUCAACUCACUCAAGCUCAAUUCAGCUCAAUCUUAACCCAAUGAGCUUAUUUUUAGCUUUCUUUAGCUUGCAUUUAUUUUGCUGAAAUAAACCAUUUAAUUUGUCAUUAGUUAAAUUAGUUGUUUAUCUUAAGUUAGUUAAUUUGUUAAAAUCUGGACAAAUAAUUAAUUAAGUGUUUUAAUUAUAUCUAAAUUAAAUACUUAAUUAAUUAUGAUGUUUUAAAUAUGUCUAAAAUUGUUAAUAUGUAUGGCCAAAUUUAAUGUGCAAAUUAUUGAGUUCAUAUGCUGCUAAUUUAAUGUGUUUGAAAUGCAUUUAACUUGCUGAUUUAAUUUGCUGCAGGUUCAUGAACGGAUUGGUGCAAUGUAUGGGAGUGUGCAUGCACAAUUGAGGUUCAAUGGAUGGCAUUUAAAGGAGCACAUGCAUUUGGGACGUUCAUGCAAGAGGGAGUUGCUGAAAGUUCAUGUAUUUGAAGAUUCAUGGAUCAUAUUUAUGGGGGAAAAUACAUGGGACGUUUCAUGCAUGAUUCAUGCAUUUUCAAGAUGACCAUUCAAGUAUUUUAGGCACAUUAAUGCCUCAUUCAGCCAAGGGAGAUGUAGGAUCAUUAAAGAGCUGCACAUUCAUGGAAUUAUGGAGAUUCUUCAAGGCUUCGCCAUUAUCACUGUCAUCCACAAGUUCUGGCAUAUCUGGAUCUAUUUUAUCAGAGUCGAAAGUGUACUCACCAUUAUCUUUCAGAAGAAGUAAUCUUGUGUUAGGGCAUUCCCUACUAUAAUGACCACGCCCUUUGCACUUAAAGCACUAAAUCUCACGAGUCCUCUUCGCACUCGAAUCUCCUAAAUUGGGCUGCUUAGAAGGUGUUUGCGUUUUAACAGGAGCCCCUUUUUUCCAAUUUGAUUGCUUGCUUCCAUUACUCAAAGAAGGCUUGUUAGUAACGAAAUGUGAUUUUGAGCUAUUAAAAUCAGAAUUGGAAUUGUUACCUCGGUAAUAUUGCGAAGUCGAGAAGGAACCAAACCUUUGUUCCUUUAGUUGUUGCUCGAUCUCAAUGGCUUUAUGAACUGCUUCUUCCAAAUCAAUGUAAGUUUGUAGCCUCAAUGUAUUAGCUAUCGGCCUGUUCAAACCAUCAAUAAAUCGAACCAUAGUUGUUUCUUCAUCCUCCUCCACAUUAGCUCUCUGAAUGAGCAUCUCCAUCUCUUUAAAAUAUUCAUCCACUGUCCUACUACCUUGGAUAAGUCUUCUCAGCUUUGUUUUAAUUUCUCUAUAGUAGUGAGGUGGAAUAAACCUUUUACGCAUAAUCUGUUUCAACUCAUCCCAUGUCGAAAUCUCACCUUCAUAAUUUUGAUGGCGGUUUACCCCAAGUUGAGUCCACCAACUUAAUGCAUAAUCAGAAAAUUUCAGUGUUGCUAACGCUACCUUUUCAUCAUCCGGACAUUUAUAAUACCGAAACAUAAGUUCAAUCUUAGAUUCCCAUUCACAAUAAGCGUCAGGAUCAUUCUUACCACGAAAUUGGGGAAUUGUGAAUUUCGGUUUUGCCAAAGAAGGUUGCCCACGAUCAUGAAAAUCAUCAUCCAUUCUAGUGACACGUCGAGGGCCGCGCCUCUGGGGUUGGUUAUCCCUAUCUUCUUUGAUUAGAUCUCGAUAUUGAGGUUCUUGAUUCAAUUGCACCUCAUUGAUGGUAGCAGUCAAAGCUCGAAGAGCAGCAGCCUGUUCAUCCAACUGUUGUUUGAAUUUUUUAAAUAUGUCACUAUUAUUAUCACCUGUAGACAUUUUUUUUAAAACCUGCAAAACACUCAACACUCAAAAAUAAAAGUUAUCAAACCUCACCAUUAAUCACUCAAAAAGAAAAAAUCAAAUUCUCAAUGAGGUCAAAUUCAAUCUUGUGAGUUCUUUAUCAGAGUUUAUAUCAACCAAUUAGAGAGUGUGAACCAAACUACCAAAGAAUCCUAAUUUGCACUAGGAUGCCAAAAACUGACGAGACACCAAUUGAUUCGUGUUGCACCGAGGAAGAAGUUGUGCACACGUUUAAAUCCUACUAACACAAGAAACAAGAAGGUGUUAGAUAAUGUUAAGGAAGAAUAAAGGUAAACAAAUGAAAACCUACAGCUAAGAAUCAAUAAAAAUUGCUGAAAACAGAAAACCCGAAAAACUGCGGAGUAACUUGACAACUUCGUUCGAGGUGUUCCCGAUCUCCAAAAAUCACAAAAUUAAAUCUGGAGUGUCCUUAUAUAUUGAAUUUUUGAUCUGGAAAUUUUGGUCACCAAAUUCAACCCGCUGAAUCUUUUUUUAAAUUUUUAUUGAAUUUUGUCUUUUUUUGAUUUUUUGACUUUUUUGACUGAUUUUUUUGCGGGAAUAAUUUUUUUAUAUUCAAUCACAGUGCCAAAAACAUGUAUGUAAAAUUUCAGAUCAAUAGGACAACGUUUACCCACUCAAAUGAAUUUUUUUGAACAAUUUUUCUGGGUAAAACUGCUGUUUAUGCUUUAAAAAAUAGAGAUCAGUUUAGAAAUCAUCCAAGAACACCCAAAACGCCCAAAAUCUGAUACCAAAUGAUAUAAGGUUGCGCGCGGACCAAGAUCGAGUUGCCAAGUCACGGGAAACUCCUACGAAAGCUCUAAACGAACAGAUCUGAAAUCAAAAACAAAGAUUAAGAUUAAACCGAAUUAGAUUUGAAUUUAAAAUUCCCAAAUUCAAUUAAAAGAGCAGCAAGAAGAAAAGAAAUAGAAUCGAUGAAUCAAAUGAAAUUGAGAAGAAAGAAAAGAUGUGAAUCUGCCAAGGAAUUGAUUCGGCCAAGAAUGCCCAAUUUCCAGCAAUCAAUUGAUUCCCAAAUUGAAAGAAAUCCAAUCGGCCAAACCCUAGGAAUUGGGGAUUUUUGGGUUCGAAUGGGUGCUUCCAAUAGGAGAACAACUUAAACGAUGAGAUCUUGAGUUUAAUCAAUGCUGGAAAACAAACAAGAACAGCAAAAUAUAAGAUGAGAAAUCGGCACAAGUAUAAGCAAAGAAAAAUAAAGAAAGAAAUCGAAAAUAGCAAGAAUUAAAGGAUAAGUCCUAAAGAUCCUUGAAAUCCCGAAAGAUUUCACAAAUCUCUUCAAACGGCUCUAAUCUCCCCUCCAAAGAAUAUCGAUGGCAAGAAGAAGGUUGAAGAUGGCUCCCACAAUCAAAAGAUUGUUAAAACAACUUCUAAAGAAAACUCAAGAGAGAAUUCUUGGAGAAAACCCCAAAGAAAAUUCUGCACUUAACAAAUCUGAAAUUUGAUAGAAAAAAUAAUAAUAAGAUGUUUUUACAAAGGGUGGCUAGCCAAUGCUUAUAUAGGCCUCCAACAAAUCCUAAUCUCACAAGUAACUAAUAAAAAAAUUAAACCUAAUUAAUAAAAUAACAAGGUAAAUUCGGCCAUGCACUUAUAUGGGCUGUUUUGGGCCGAAUUUUACAUGUAAUGCUCCUAAAGAUUAAAAAAUUAAAUUAAACAAGUAAGAUGUUUACAAAUUGGGCCCUUUGACAAUUUGGCCUGAUUUUCAACUAAGUAUGAAGAAAUUUCUUGAUUGGGCUGGAUUUUGGUUAUUGGGCCUCGCCUUCAAGAAUUUGGGCUCGUGAUCCAUCUCCUACCAAAAUUGGGUCGUUGACGCUCGUAAUGGAGAUCCAAUGCGUUUUGGCUGCAAGAUUUGGUUUCUUGACCAAGAUUUCCAAGAUUUGAAAUCUUGAUUUUCUUGAUUCUUGAAAUCUCUUCGAACAGCAAAAUUGGGCCAAGAUUCAGUUUCUUGAUUUUCUUGAAAACAAGAAAGUGAAUCUUGAUUUUCUUGUUCUCUCGUGUAUGCAUCUAAGGCCUUGCUAACAAGCUCUUGAAUGGUCCCAUUUAGUUUGGACCACAUUUGUCGGGCCUUUGAUCUUGUUAUUGGGCCUUGUGGCAAUUUGAGCCCAUCACGUUCUUGAACUUGGAUUGGGCCUUUAUGACUCGUAUCAUUGAUAUUAUUGAAAAAGCAUGGGAUUGAUGUUAACGUAGAGUUUCCUUACAUAUGAUCCUAUGUUCUUGAUAUGUUAGUGAAGAUAAAAUAAGAGAAAGUGAUGAAAAAUAGUGUAGAGAAAGAAAAUAAGGGUGUUAUAAACAUGGUAAUUAAUAUCUUGCACUAAAACAAUUUUGGACAACAGCAGUGGUCUAACUUUGAAAAAUCAUAAAACAUUGUGGAAAUUGAAUUAGAAGUUGAAUAAAAUAUGAAAUUAAAUUUUAUUGAGUCUAGUUUUUCAUAGAAGAAAUGGUGUAAGCAAUGAAAUUGUAAAUUGUGAGAUAUAACAAAUUUAGUUAGAUAAGGUCAAAAUGAUUUCGGGUUCCCCUGUUCUGACUUUGGAAAAUCAUCAAAAAUUGCAUAAAAAUAAUUAGGCUCUUAAAGUUAUAUGUUUAAAAUUAUGAAUGAGUCUAUUUUCAAUAAAAACAAACGAUAAUAUCAUAUGAAUCCUGUAUAAUGAGAUAAUUAAUUUUUAGUAAAGAAGGGUUGGAACUGUCAAACAGCAGAAUAAGGGUGACUUUAAAGAAUAAACUGUACUUAUUGGUUAAAGAAAAAAUUAUGAAAAUUUUAUAAAAGAAGACAUAUGAGUCUAGUUUCAGGGAAAAUUAACAGAUCUUAAUUUGGAGUUCUAUAGCUCCAUAUAUAAAUAAUUUAGUGAUUAUGAUGCAGAUAGACAGCUUGAAUAUUCAUAAAAGUAAAUAAUAAAAAUUAUAGAUAAUGUUACUUACAAGUGUGUAUAUACAUUAAGGAUGUGGAAUGGAGAGGAGGAGGAGGAAAAAUAUGUAUGAAUAUUCAUCUAGCAUGGCUAAUUUGCAUAUUUUAGGUUCAGGGACUAAAUUGAAUAAAAGUAAAACUUUAUGGGCAAUUUUGUAAAAAAUUCAGAAAUGACCAAAUUGCAUGAAAUGGAUUAUUUUAUUAUUUAAAUUAUAAAAUUGAAUGAAAUUAUUAAUUUAGUUCAAGAUUGGGGGAAAACAUGUUUUAGGGAUUAAAUUGAAAAGAGUUGAAAUUAUGGAAAAUUCUGAUAUUUUAUAGAAUUCAUGGACUGUUAUCAAUAUGUAUGAGAAUAAUAGCUGGAAAUAAGGAUUAAAUUGCAAGAAUUUUAUUUUCCUGACCCUAAGGAUGAAAUCGUCAUUAAUUAAAACUUUAGGGGAAAAAUGGUAAUUUUACCUAGAGCAUUAAUUAAAUGCAUUAGAAUAUGAAAUGAAUGAAAAUGAUGAUCAAAUUUAUUUAUAAAGAUCCAGACGACUCAAAUACGAAACUUGAUCGUGGAAAAGAAAAGAUAUCGGAUUAAUGAAAUUAUAAACACAAACAAGCAAUGAGGUAAGUUUGUGUAACUUGAAUUGUAUUUUUAAAUACUUGAAAUAUGUGGUUAUGUGAUGAAAAUAUGAUUUGAAUGUUCAAUUCAUGAUAAUUGAUGAAAUAUUGAUAAUACUCGAUAUAAAUUGAAAAUAAAUCCCGGUUGAAUGGAAUGGUUCGAUGGAUCAUUGGAAAAGGAAUUGACGGUAAAAAAGGAUCUAGCCCGGAUGGGUGAUCCUAUUCUGAUAUAUCCCUCUCGAAGAAUAUGUGUAAAAUGGAUUUAGCCCGGACAGGUAAUCCGAAUUAAGGUCUAAAUUUAGCCUGGACUGGUAAUUCAGAUCCAAGCUCAUUAGAGUAAUUGUCGUUGUAGGGGAUUUAGCCUGGGCUGGUAAUCCUGCUGUAAGAAUGAAGUUGGCGGGAGUGUGCUUUCUAAAAUGAAAUGUGUAAGACCAUGGUUGAAAGAUACCAUGGCAACAUGACAUGAAAUGAAUAAGACCAUGGUUGAAAGAUACCAUAGCAACAUGAUAUGAAAUGUGUAAGACCAUGGUUGAAAGAUACUAUGGCAACGCAACAUGAAAUGAAUAAGACCAUGGUUGAAAGAUACCAUGGCAACAUGAUAUGAAAUGUGUAAGACCAUGGUUGAAAGAUACCAUGGCAACAGGAUAUAAAAUGUGUAAGACCAUGGUUGAAAGAUACCAUGGCAACAUGACGGGAAUGAAUAAGACCAUGGUUGAAAGAUACCAUGGCAAUGCAACAUGAAAUAAACAAGACCAUGGUUGAAAGAUUCCAUGGCAACCUGACAGAAAAUGAGUAAGACCAUAGUUGAAAGACACUAUGGCAUCAUGUCGAAGAUAAAUAAGAUUGUGGAUGGGAGAUGCUAUGACAUCAGUUGAACAAUUGAUAUUCAGGUAAUAUGUAUCAGGUGAUGAAUGGUUAUAUGAAAUGGUUCUGUGAAAUGUUUACAAGAAUUGGUCAUAUGGAAAUAUAUGUACAAAAUAGUUGAAUGAAAUAAUUAAGAAGAUAGAUAAAUGAAAUAAGUAUAGGUACAUGUAAUUUAAUUUAUGUUAAUUUUAAUAUGAGCUAUUACCGAAAUAAAUAUACAUAAGAUAUAUGGAAAUUAUGGUGCAUGAAAUAAUGAUAUAACGAAAUGAAUGAUAUGCUCAUGAAGAAACAGUAAGAGAAUAAUAUGUCUUGUGACAUGUACAUAUAUGAUUAUCUUGAAAUGUUGAUACAAGGAAAUUAUGUAAGUAAAAACAAUUAUUAAACUCAAGUGUGACACGUCGAGAAAUUACGUAUAUCAAUGUUGGAUUUAUAUGAAAUAUGUACUAGUAUACUAAGAAUGUUGCUGUUUGAUGCUUAUACAAGUGUCAAGCUGUUGAUUGAAUGGUAAUAUAUUUAUUUAUAUGAUGCAUUAAAUCGGUAAGUAUUUAAUUUUUUUAGGUGAUUUGCAAAUUCUUGUAAUGCUCCGAAACCCUGUUUUGAUGACGGAUAUAGGUUAGGGGUAUUACAUACUCAACUUCGAAUGUCUUGUUAAAAUUAGGUAAAGACAAUAACGGAGCAUCAGUUAGACAUUCCUUCAUCUUAUUAAAUGCAUUUUCUUGAUCAUCAGUCCAAUUAAAGGGUGAGUUUUUCUUGAUAAUACCUGUCAAGGGGGCGGCUAAGGUACUAAAUGAUACACAGCCACACCUUUCGAGUUGCCAGCUGCUAAAGUAGAUCCUCUUGAGUUACCUAUAGGACCGAUCACCAGAGCCCGAGCCAAGAGGUUCAAAGACACAAUUUCAGCUUUAGUUAAUCGAGCUUGGGCCUAAUCUAUCUCCAUCUUACUCAAGAGUUCAUGGACUAACUCAACGAGUCAUCCUUGUAAUCUCUUCCUAUCUUGUCCAGCUCACAAUUAGCUUAGCAAGCUCGGUUCCAGCUCAACAAGUUCACAUCCAGCUCAACUUCAGCUCAUGAGCUUGUUCUCAGCUCAACUUUAGCUCUCGAGCUCAAACUCAGCUCACUUCUAGCUCACGAUCUCGGACUUAGCUCGAUUAUAACUCACGAACUUAAUCGUAGCUCAUUAAGUUUAUUUAUAACUUACUAUAAUAGUGUUGACUUUUACUUGAAUAAGUUCAUUAAUUAGCUAUCUUUAAUUAGCUAUGUUUUAAUUAAGUUCACAUUAGUAAUUAAUUAUGUUUUAUGUUUAUUAAUAUUACAUGUUUUAAUUAUGUAAUAAUUGAAUUAAUGUUUGUUUGGGAUAUUUGUUCACAUUUGUGCCAAAAUUAAGGUGUUCAUAUGGGAUUUAAUGAAUUGAUUUUUUUCAUGUAAGUGCAUUACUUGGGACGCAUGGUGCAUGGAAGAAGUAAUUUUGGUGUGCUGCCCCUUUGAGUUCCCUAUGUGAAAAUUCAGUCAUGCCUCUCCAAAUAACCAAGGUGGUCAUUAAGUGCUCCUUAAAGCUUUCACACUUGGCCAAACUUGUGUUCACAUUCCAUGGACCAUUCGGCUAGCUUUGUUCACAUUUUGAUACGAGUCACAAAAGCCCAAAUUCUUGAAGGCGAGGCCCAAUAAGCAAAUUCCCAGCCCAAUCAAGAAAUUCAUCCAUACUUAGUUGAAAAUCAGGCCAAAUUGUCAAAGUGGCCCAAGUUGUAAAGUUUUAUUUUUAUUUAUUUAUUUAUUUAUUUACUUAGUUUAAAUUUUUAUGUCAAUAUUCAGUCCAAGAGUCCCAGAUAAAAUGACCUUUGACCGAAUUUCCAUAUUAAAAUAAUUUGGAGUUUUUUUUAUUUUAGUUUUCUAAUUAGAUUAGGACUAGUUAUAAUGCCUAUUUAAAGGCAUGGCUGUCCACCUUGUUAAACACUUAUCAUUAUUAUUAAAAUUUUCAGAUUUGUUGAGAGCAGAAUUUUCUUUGAGUUUUCUCCAAGAUUUCUCUCUUGAGUUUUCUUUAGAAGUUGUUUUAACAAUCUUUUUGAUUGUGGGAGCCAUCUUCAACCUUCUUCUUGCCAUUGAUAUUCUUUGGAGGGGAGAUUAGAGCUGUUUGAAGGGAGUUGUGAGAUCUUUCGAGAUUUCAAGGCUUCUUAGGACUUAUCUUUUAAUUUCUUACUGUCAAUUCUUUCUUUAUUUCUACUUGGGCUGAAUCAUUAUCUAAUCUAUUUUCUGUUCUUAUUGUGUUUUCAGCCUUUUUCUAUCUUAAGGAAUCAGCCCAAAAAUCCCCAAUUUCUAGGGUUUUUCUAUACUCUUUUUGGGUGAAAUUAGAUUGUCGAAAUUUGGGGAAAACUAUCUUGGUGUUCAAUUGGGCAGAAUCACAAUCUCCUUGAGGGUUUCAAGAACCCUAACACUUAUUUCUAUUCUCUAUUUGAUUCUUUACUGUUUUGGGGAUUUUAUUUAAGAUCUGAAAAUUCAAAAAUCUAAUCUUUUAAUUUUCUAUUUCGUUUCAGAUCUAAUUGUUUAGGGUUUUCGUAGGAGUUUCCCGUGACUUGGCAACUCGAUCUUGGUCCGCGCGCAACCUCGUAUCAUUUGGUAUCAGAUUUUGGGCGUUUUGGGUGUUCUUGGUUGAUUUCUAAACUGAUCUCUAUUUUUUAAAUUACAAACAGCAGUUUUACCCAGAAAAAUUUUCGAAAAAAAUUCAUUUGAGUGGGUAAAAGUUUCCUGAUUGAUCUGAAAUUUUACAUACAUAUUUUUGGCACUGUUAUUGAAUAUACAAAAAUAUUUCCCGCAAAAAAAUAAGUCGAAAAAGUCAAAAAAUUGAAAAAAUACGAAAUCCAAUAAAAAAUUAAAAAAAUAUUCAGCGGGUUGAAUUUGGUGCCCAAAUUUUCCAGAUAAAAAAUUCAAUAUUUGAAGACAUUCCAGAUUUAAUUUUGUGAUUUUUGGAGAUCAGGAACACCUCUAACGAAGUUGUCAAGUUACUCCGCAGUUUUUCGGGUUUUCUGGUUUUAGCAAUUUUUAUUGAUUCUUAGCUGUAGGUUUUCAUUUGUUUUCUUUUUAUUCUUCUGUUACGUUAUCUAACACCUUCUUGUUUCUUGUGUUAGUAGGAUUUACACGUGUGCACAACUCCUUCCUCGGUGCAACACGAAUCACUUGGUGUCUCGUCAGUUUUUGGCAUCCUAGUGCAAAUUAGGAUUCUUUGGUAGUUUGGUUCACACUCUCUAAUUGGUUGAUAUAAACUCUGAGAAAGAACUCACAAGAUUGAAUUCGACCUCAUUGAGAAUUUGAUUUCUUUCUUUUGAGUGAUUAACGGUGAGGUUUGAUAACUUUUAUUUUUGAGUGUUGAGUGUUUUGCAGGUUUUAAAAAAAAAUGUCUACAGGUGAUAAUAAUAGUGACAUAUUUAAAAAAGUCCAACAACAGUUGGACGAACAGGCUGCUGCACUUCGAGCGUUGACUGCUACUAUCAAUAAGGUGCGGUUGAAUCAAGAGCCUCAAUAUCGAGAUCAAAUUCAAGACGAUGUGGAUAACCAGCCUCCUGCUCAUAGGUGCGCUCCUCGACGUGUCCCUAGAACUGAUUAUGAUCUUCAUGAUCGUGGACAACCCUCUUUGGCAAAUCCAAAGAGCGAGCAGCAACGAGAACAUCUCUUUCAUACUCGCUGCCAUGUACAAGGUAAGCUUUGUAGAGUUAUUAUUGAUGGUGAAAGUUGCUCGAACGUAGCCAGCACGACGAUGGUGGAAAAGCUUUGCUUAACCACUACCAAGCAUCCACGACCUUAUCAACUACAAGGGCUUAGCAACGAAAGCCAAUUUAAGGUCACUCAACAAGUGCGCAUCGCCUUUUCUAUCGGUAAGUAUCAAGACGAAGUCGUGUGCGACGUAGUACCUAUUCAAGCCUGCCAUUUGUUGCUAGGAGAACCAUGGCAACUAGAUCGAAAGGUCACUCACGAUGGUCGUACCAAUAGGUAUUCUUUCAAGUAUCAAGGAAGGAAAAUCACCUUAGUGCCGCUCACUCCAGAACAAGUCCAUGAGGACCAAAUCAAACUGAAAAAUUCUGUUAAAACAAGUGAGGAAAAAGAAAAAGAGAAUGAAAAAGAGCAAAAAGAGAUUGAGAGUGAAAAAGAAGUUGAAGAAAGAAGAGAAAAUGAGUUAGAAAAAGAAACAAAAGAAAAAGACGAGGAAAGGCUAGUGAGGAAUGUUUCCACUAACCAAGUUAUGAAUUUUUCUUGUGUUGCUACUUUUCAGGUUCCCGAAAGAUCGAAAGAUAACUUUCAACUUCAAUACCUCUCAAAUGAAAGACGCUUUCAUACGAUCAACUUAGGCAAAGAUGAAAUCACACUACAUGAUCCCGAAGGUAAUCAAGGUAAGGAAAUUUUAGAAACCGAGUCCAGUGCAGAUUUGAAAAUUAUUAAUAAAACUUUUGGUGACUUAGUUCUUAAAAGAUCCCCUCAUUUUGAUCCAAUUAAUUGUUACUCUUCGAUUGUGGUUGAUAAAGUCAUUAUGAAAAGAAGCGUGAUUUGUUAUUCUCUUGAUUUACCUUGUGUAAAAUCCUCGAAUUUGUCCAAAUCUGUUUUGGAGAAUAAGGUAACGAAAUUUUCCAAAUUUGUUUUCAAUUUAUAUUCGUGCCUUAAACAUUUUAUGUGGUUGUACAUGAAGUUUGAGUUCCAUUUGACAAACGUUAACUCAACAACGAAGAUUCGACUACACUAUGCCCCCGAUGAGCGAAGGUUUGUUUUAAAUGAAAAAGGUAAAAUCGACCCUUAUUCUUCUGCUUAUCGAGGUAAGAUGCUUGAAACCUUUGAAACACUUUUGUACUCCUCGGAUAGUGAUAAAGAUCGUGUUGAUGAACACUUAGAUCGAAACGUGCUUGACUGUCCUAUUUUAUUUAUUGAUGAUCUAUCUAUUUUGAUGGUUGAUAAAAAGAUUCUUGUUUUUGAUAAUGCAUGUGUGAGUGAAUCUAUAGACCGUCGAUUAAUGCAUGGUAUGAUUAUGCAACUCUGUGAACCAUGUGAAUAUUUUCAAAUACCUACUUGUGACGAUUAUGUUUACCAUUUAAUUUAUUACUCGCAAUUUAUUCAUGGUUUGUAGGAACAAUGUGAGAUGACUGAAUGCCUUAAAACAUGUCCAUCUUUGUUUCAAAUAUUUGACGAGGCAGUGGUGAGUAAAUUAGAUUGUUUGCAUGGUAAUCUGAAUCUGUCCAUUCACAUGCGUUAUACCUGUUCUGUUAUGCUUAUGAUUGGAUUACAAGCUUGUUUCCGUUGCUAUUUACUAUCUCAUGGCUAUUCUUUU